GGGGAUAUAGCUCAGUUGGUAGAGAGCUUGCCUCACAUGUACAAGGCCCCUGGGUUCAAUCCCCAGCACCACCA
rfam:Ictidomys tridecemlineatus contig054076, whole genome shotgun sequence.